GAUGAACGCUGGCGGCGUGCCUAAUACAUGCCAGUCGAGCGAACGGACGAGAAGCUUGCUUCUCUGAUGUUAGCGGCGGACGGGUGAGUAACACGUGGAUAACCUACCUAUAAGACUGGGAUAACUUCGGGAAACCGGAGCUAAUACCGGAUAAUAUUUUGAACCGCAUGGUUCAAAAGUGAAAGACGGUCUUGCUGUCACUUAUAGAUGGAUCCGCGCUGCAUCAGCUAGUUGGUAAGGUAACGGCUUACCAAGGCAACGAUGCAUAGCCGACCUGAGAGGGUGAUCGGCCACACUGGAACUGAGACACGGUCCAGACUCCUACGGGAGGCAGCAGUAGGGAAUCUUCCGCAAUGGGCGAAAGCCUGACGGAGCAACGCCGCGUGAGUGAUGAAGGUCUUCGGAUCGUAAAACUCUGUUAUUAGGGAAGAACAUAUGUGUAAGUAACUGUGCACAUCUUGACGGUACCUAAUCAGAAAGCCACGGCUAACUACGUG
rnacentral:rRNA from 1 species